GUAGCCGAACUGAGAGGUUGAUCGGCCACAUUGGGACUGAGACACGGCCCAAACUCCUACGGGAGGCAGCAGUAGGGAAUCUUCCACAAUGGACGAAAGUCUGAUGGAGCAACGCCGCGUGAAUGAAGAAGGCCUUCGGGUCGUAAAAUUCUGUUGUCAGAGAAGAACGUGCGUGAGAGUAACUGUUCACGUAUUGACGGUAUCUGACCAGAAAGCCACGGCUAACUACGUGCCAGCAGCCGCGGUAAUACGUAGGUGGCGAGCGUUGUCCGGAUUUAUUGGGCGUAAAGGGAACGCAGGCGGUCUUUUAAGUCUGAUGUGAAAGCCUUCGGCUUAACCGAAGUAGUGCAUUGGAAACUGGAAGACUUGAGUGCAGAAGAGGAGAGUGGAACUCCAUGUGUAGCGGUGAAAUGCGUAGAUAUAUGGAAGAACACCAGUGGCGAAAGCGGCUCUCUGGUCUGUAACUGACGCUGAGGUUCGAAAGCGUGGGUAGCAAACAGGAUUAGAUACCCUGGUAGUCCACGCCGUAAACGAUGAGUGCUAAGUGUUGGAGGGUUUCCGCCCUUCAGUGCUGCAGCUAACGCAUUAAGCACUCCGCCUGGGGAGUACGGUCGCAAGACUGAAACUCAAAGGAAUUGACGGGGGCCCGCACAAGCGGUGGAGCAUGUGGUUUAAUUCGAAGCAACGCGAAGAACCUUACCAGGUCUUGACAUCUUCUGACAAUUCCAGAGAUGGAACGUUCCCUUCGGGGACAGAAUGACAGGUGGUGCAUGGUUGUCGUCAGCUCGUGUCGUGAGAUGUUGGGUUAAGUCCCGCAACGAGCGCAACCCUUAUUGUCAGUUGCCAUCAUUAAGUUGGGCACUCUGGCGAGACUGCCGGUGACAAACCGGAGGAAGGUGGGGAUGACGUCAAAUCAUCAUGCCCCUUAUGACCUGGGCUACACACGUGCUACAAUGGACGGUACAACGAGUCGCUAACUCGCGAGGGCAAGCUAAUCUCUUAAAGCCGUUCUCAGUUCGGAUUGCAGGCUGCAACUCGCCUGCAUGAAGUCGGAAUCGCUAGUAAUCGCGAAUCAGCAUGUCGCGGUGAAUACGUUCCCGGGCCUUGUACACACCGCCCGUCACACCAUGAGAGUUUGUAACACCCAAAGUCGGUGGGGUAACCUUUUGGAGCCAGCCGCCUAAGGUGGGACAGAUGAUUGGGGUGAAGUCGGAACAAGGUA
rnacentral:rRNA from 1 species